rnacentral:rRNA from 1 species
CAAUAGCGUAUAUUUAAGUUGUUGCAGUUAAAAAGCUCGUAGUCGGAUUUUGGCUGAGAACGAACGGUCCGCCGUUAGGUGUGCACUGUUUGGUCUCAGCUUCCUGGUGAGGAGGUGUGCUUCACGGCCACUUAGUCACCGUGGUUACUUUGAAAAAAUUAGAGUGUUCAAAGCGGGCUUACGCUUGAAUAUAUUAGCAUGGAAUAACACCAUAGGACUCCUGUCCUAUUUCGUUGGUCUCGGGACGGGAGUAAUGAUUAAGAGGAACAGUUGGGGGCAUUCGUAUUUCAUUGUCAGAGGUGAAAUUCUUGGAUUUAUGAAAGACGAACUACUGCGAAAGCAUUUGCCAAGGAUGUUUUCAUUGA